rnacentral:rRNA from 1 species
UACGUAGGGUGCGAGCGUUGUCCGGAAUUAUUGGGCGUAAAGGGCUCGUAGGCGGUUUGUCGCGUCGGGAGUGAAAUCCACUGGCUUAACUGGUGGCUUGCUUUCGAUACGGGCAGACUGGAGGUAUGCAGGGGAGAACGGAAUUCCUGGUGUAGCGGUGAAAUGCGCAGAUAUCAGGAGGAACACCGGUGGCGAAGGCGGUCUGCUGGGCAGUUUCUGACACUGAUGCGCGACAGCGUGGGGAGCAAACAGG